rnacentral:snoRNA from 1 species
GCAUACAGUUCAAAGAAUCACUUUAGAGUAGACGUCCCACCUCUGAGCUCUUCUAAAGAGCCACAGAAUCCUCACCCUUGCUGAUGACUUCUAUGUCCUCGAUGCCCUAAAGUGAAGCCGUUUUACUUCCGACUCGACCGUGUCUGCGCCGGCGGCUGGGAAUAUUCUGUUCGUCAGACUUAUUCCCGCCAUCUGGACGGGCGCUUUGGUCCAGGGAGUGGUGAUGAUCUUUACCUUGUCGUGACGUCUUGACUUCGGUCGGUCUGACUUGGUGGGCGUCGAGGAGGUCUGAAAGGU